rnacentral:rRNA from 1 species
CCUACGGGGUGCAGCAGUGAGGAAUAUUGGUCAAUGGGCUUACGCCUGAACCAGCCAAGUCGCGUGAGGGAAGACUGCCCUAUGGGUUGUAAACCUCUUUUGUCAGGGAGCAACGCCGGCUACGUGUAGCCGGACUGAGAGUACCUGAAGAAAAAGCAUCGGCUAACUCCGUGCCAGCAGCCGCGGUAAUACGGAGGAUGCGAGCGUUAUCCGGAUUGAUUGGGUUAAAAGGGUGCGUAGGCGGAAUGCCAAGUCAGCGGUAAAAUCGCGGGGCUCAACCGCGCUACGCCGUUGAAACUGGCGUUCUUGAGAGGGCGAGAAGUAUGCGGAAUGCGUGGUGUAGCGGUGAAAUGCAUAGAUAUCACGCAGAACUCCGAUUGCGAAGGCAGCAUACCGGCGCCCAACUGACGCUGAAGCACGAAAGCGUGGGUAUCGAACAGGAUUAGAUACCCUAGUAGUC